rnacentral:tRNA from 1 species
CUGGUUUAAUGUAAUAAGCAUGUUAGCUUUUCGUGCUAACUGUGAUCUAUGAUCAACCAGC